CCCUUAGAUGUCCGGGGCCGCACGCGCGCUACACUGAAGGAAUCAGCGUGGCUUUCUCCCUGACCCGAAAGGGUUGGGAAACCCGUUGAAUCUCCUUCGUGAUAGGGAUUGGGGCUUGAAAUUGUUCCCCAUGAACGAGGAAUUCCCAGUAAGCGCGAGUCAUAAGCUCGCGUUGAUUACGUCCCUGCCCUUUGUACACACCGCCCGUCGCUACUACUGAUUGAACGGUUUAGUGAGGGCCUCGGAUUGGUCUCGGCCCGCUCUUUACCGGGCGGCGCCGUUGGUCGAGAAGACGCUCGAACUUGAUCGUUUAGAGGAAGUAAAAGUCGUAACA
rnacentral:rRNA from 1 species